rnacentral:rRNA from 1 species
GAUGAACGCUGGCGGCGUGCUUAACACAUGCAAGUCGAACGAAGCACUUUAUUUGAUUUCCUUCGGGACUGAUUAUUUUGUGACUGAGUGGCGGACGGGUGAGUAACGCGUGGGUAACCUGCCUUGUACAGGGGGAUAACAGUUGGAAACGGCUGCUAAUCCCGCAUAAGCGCACGGCAUCGCAUGAUGCAGUGUGAAAAACUCCGGUGGUAUAAGAUGGACCCGCGUUGGAUUAGCUAGUUGGUGAGGUAACGGCCCACCAAGGCGACGAUCCAUAGCCGACCUGAGAGGGUGACCGGCCACAUUGGGACUGAGACACGGCCCAAACUCCUACGGGAGGCAGCAGUGGGGAAUAUUGCACAAUGGGCGAAAGCCUGAUGCAGCGACGCCGCGUGAGCGAAGAAGUAUUUCGGUAUGUAAAGCUCUAUCAGCAGGGAAGAUAAUGACGGUACCUGACUAAGAAGCACCGGCUAAAUACGUG